GGCCUGGUGGUGUAGUGGUUAAACGUCCUCAAAGAGUGCGCAAAGCAGCGAAUAUUCAGAGGAAGUCCCCGGUUCGAACCCGGGUCAGGCCU